CCGCGGCAACAGCAGAUUGGCGGCGCCGCGGACCAAUCGCAGCGCCCCGAGUGCAACGCCCUGCCGUUCACCUGCGCGGCGGAGGGGUGGAGCUCACCUGAGGCGAGGCGCGGUAGGGGCGGUCCGACGUCCGCCAUGUUGGGGGAGGAGUCGUCCGUCCGCCCGCCCGCCCGCCCUCCCUCCCUCACCUCGCGGUGAGGCAGCCCGGCAUGGCGGCGGGUGCUGUGUUGUGUGGGGCUGGUGCUCGGGGUGCUUCCUCCUGAGGGCCAGUGGGGGCAGCCAUAAAACAUUACGAAGGCAAUUUUGCAGACAACCCUUUGUUAUGAAAGGAAAGCGAAGUCACUUCAGUGGACCUCGGAGCACCCAAAUCCCAUAGAUUCCCCUGAAAUUCAGCAAUUCACUUAAAUCCUUUGGCUGUUCUUCGAGAGAAAAUCCUCGUUAUUAAUGUCGUGAGUGGAUGCACGAGCAGAGUGUGAACAGAAGAGGUUAGCUUGAGUUCACACAUGCUUUAAUUCUGUAUGAGUCCCACGUCCCUGUUCCUGAGUGGUGACAACACUGCUAGUGCCACUGAAAGCUGGAGGUGCUACCAAGCGUUAAUUAGAAGUAAUGUAUAUAAAUCCUGAGUGCUGCCUUCUAUGUGUGAGAGAUAGGGAGUGCUCCUGUUCCCAUAGAGAGGAGCACCCGUAACCUUCCCGCGACCCGAGCACAGCCCUGCGUUUGCAGACCUGCUGUGUUGAUACAGAAACGUGCACGGUUUAUUUUAACCUUGCUGCAGCUUGCUCCUAAUGUUCCCUGUGCACAGAUGCUUAAUUAUCAACAGACUGAUUUAAUGUAACAAAACCGGACUGAUUUUAAUCAAUAUAAAUAUGGCAUGUUGGGAAGCCUGAGCCAACUGUUUCUGCAGCAUUCACACUGAACUGAUUCCAUCGUUCCUGCAGAGCAAAGAGGCUCUCCCUCCUGUAGGUCUCUCCAUGUGCAAGAGUGGAAUUCAGAGGACUAGAGUGGGUCAGAAGAGUUUCUUGCUUGAGUUAGGUCAUCCACUUGGAAGCAUCUAGAUCCCACUCACAAUUUAAAGAAAUGUGAUUUCUGAGGACAAGUUCUUGAAUGAAGAUCUUCCACAGCUGGAAACUUUCCUUUUGCUAGUCUUGCUGGCAGCUCUCAUGUCAGGCUCAGAUCUUCAGGGCUAUUUUCAUGAGAUGAAAGAAAUCUUAAUUAAGUGUUCCUAUCUUUGUCAGCCAGACUCGGAAUGAGAACUGAUGCAUUUCCCAUGAGCUUCACCACUUGUUAUACCCUGCAGCCAACAAAGAUACUGAGAAGAAUAAUGUGAAUGUCAUUUAACAUAACAAAGCAGUUUUCCACAACUGGAUAGGUUGAUGUGGAACUAUUGAGUGGGGGGGGAAAAAAAAAAAAGAAAAAAAUCUCUCUACUGUCUCUUCCCCUCAUUAAAAAGAAAAGAAAGAAAAGAAAAAAAAAAAUAGAAGAGUAUUUAGAGAAUGAUUGCAGUGUUUCCUGUAAAAUGGAGAAGAGCGGACAGUUCAAUAACUUCAGCCCUAUUCCCUGUGAAAGAUACCAGUUCCUCCAUGCCACAGGCACACCUCAGGGAAGACACUUCCUUCUCUUUGAGCAUUAAUUCUCUUCUUUUGCUGGUUCAGAGAAGAUUUGUGAGGCUAAAUGUAGUCAUAAUUCUGAAGGACUCAGCUCAGCUUGCAGUCAUGACACCCACAGCAAAAUAUCAAAAGAGAAAGAAUGAACUGUUCUUCCCAAUUAGCAAAAAGACCUUGGCGCUCUGGGAGCAAAUACAACAUUAAGAGUAGAAGGCCCUAGACACACCAGCUAGUGAUAAGCAGCUGCAAAAGGAUUCCAGUUCCCUUACAAGCACAGCGCUUAACUCCUUCCAUCCAUACAUGCUGAGAGGGAAGGAGUUUUGAGAUCAUGGUGUUCCUCAUUACCCAGGCUGGUGUUUCAAAAUCUACGUCUAGACAGAAAAUUUUAAUUCUGUCUUGAGAGUGCAUGUCAGUAUUUUACCAAACAUAAAGUAUUAUUUUUGAAUUAUCAUAUUCAUAUAGUUCUGUUUGAAUAUAAUCAUACUCAAAAAUAACAAAAUAGCCAGCAGAAUAGCUAGGAUCAUGUAAAUAAGACAGAUACCAGGUUGCAUUCUCCCUGCUCCUCCAUGAUUCAGUUUCUUCAAAAAA